rnacentral:rRNA from 1 species
AGUAACGCGCGAGUGAAGCGGUAAAAGCUCAAAUUUGAAAUCUGGCUCUUUCAGAGUCCGAGUUGUAAUUUGUAGAAGAUGCUUCGGGUGUGGUUCCGGUCUAAGUUCCUUGGAACAGGACGUCAUAGAGGGUGAGAAUCCCGUAUGUGACUGGAUACCUAUGCUCAUGUGAAGCUCUUUCGACGAGUCGAGUUGUUUGGGAAUGCAGCUCAAAAUGGGUGGUAUAUUUCAUCUAAAGCUAAAUAUUGGCCAGAGACCGAUAGCGCACAAGUAGAGUGAUCGAAAGAUGAAAAGCACUUUGGAAAGAGAGUUAAACAGUACGUGAAAUUGUUGAAAGGGAAGCGCUUGCAAUCAGACUUGCACUUGGUGUUCAUCAGGGUUUCGUGCCCUGUGUACUUCAUCAAGUUCAGGCCAGCAUCAGUUUGAGUGGUUAGAUAAAGGCUUGGAGAACGUGGCCCUCUUCGGGGGGUGUUAUAGCUCCAGGUGCAAUGUAGCCUACUUGGACUGAGGACCGCGCUUCGGCUAGGAUGCUGGCGUAAUGGUUGUAAGCGACCCGUCUUGAAACACGGACCAAGGAGUGUACCUAAUAUGCGAGUGUUUGGGUGUUAAACCCAUACGCGUAAUGAAAGUGAACGCUGGUGAGAACCCUCAAGGGUGCAUCAUCGACCGAUCUUGAUGUCUUCGGAUGGAUUUGAGUAAGAGCAUAUUGGGUGCGACCCGAAAGAUGAUGAUCUAUACGUGAAUAGGGUGAAGCCAGAGGAAACUCUGGUGGAGGCUCGCAGCGGUUCUGACGUGCAAAUCGAUCGUCAAAUUUGCGUAUAG